GAAGAAGACUACGAAGAUCACGUUGCAUUGGUAAGAUAUUAUGUCGCUUUCAAAAAAAACUGGGAACGAGGUCAACUCAUGACUUAAGUGACCGUUCAAAUAGUUUUUUCAGUUCCCAGUUGUUUUGAACCCACAGAAGUCAGAAGUCGAAGAUUUCCGAGUUCCCAGUAGUUUUUAACGCGGCAUUUAAAAAAACAAGUUUAGACAUGGCAUAAAAACACGAGCUCAAGGAUCGAGCAGGGAUAGAGGCGAGACUUUCAAUUUGAGUUUUCAGCAGCGGUUAAUCAAGAUGCCAGUCAUUUGUAGCAGCUGUGCUGAGAAGAGUGCAGUGCUGAAACGUCCAAAGCCGGCCCAUUCCUUGUGCAAAGAGUCCCUCUUCUGGGCCUUUGAGGAGGAGGUGCAUCAGACAAUAAUAUCAGCGCAGCUCUUCAAAGAUGGAGAGACUGUGGGCAUUGUUGCCUCUGGCGGGAAGGAUUCCACUGUGCUGGCCACCUCAGUAAACAAUGCACCUGAUCGGACAGCUCAGAGCUUCUGCUCUUUUCUGUCCAUAAAAAACAAAUGGAUUGGUGGAAGAGGCACACCUCAUGAAGGUCCUAAAUGAGCGCUAUAACUAUAGCCUGAAACUAAUGCUGCUCUCAGUGGACGAGGGCAUGACAGGUAACCGUGAUGACUCCUUGGAGACUGAAGAGAACCAGCAGUAGUAUGAACUACCUCUGAAGAUUGUGUCCUAUGAGGAGCUGUAUGGCUGGACCAUGGAUGCCAUAGUGAAGCAGAUCGGACUGAAGAACAAUGGCUCUUUCUGUGGAGUGUUCCCGAAGACAGGCUCUGGACAGGGGAGCCAUGAUGCUGAAGGUUGAUAAGAUAUGUGCAGGUAAUAUAUAAGACAAAUGUAUUUGUUAUUGAGCAGGCUUAUUUUAUCUAUCUUAUUUCAGAUGUGUAGCCUAGUUUAAACGGUCCUUAAACAGUCCUGUGGCUACAUCUACAGCCAGGCGCUGUGUAAGUCCUGUGUUCUGCUGGAGGGCCUGAACCGUGACCUGCCUAGACUAGGAAUCGGCAAGCACCACCGCCUCCACAGGAAGAUCCUCUCACAGCAGCCUCUGACCCAGGCACAGGAAACUCAAGGCUGUGGACUUCUGAGAGGCGUAUAGGCAGAACGUCUCAGGAUCACCUCCACUGUCUGUGAAGUUACACCUUGAAAUGAGUAACCGAAGAUGCCUCAACCAGAUGUGGAGUUGUUUUUAAGUUUUAGCUUGGAAUUGAAGUAGAGACAUUACGUUGCCUCUAACAAAAGAGUAGCCAGCAUUUCCCCUUUUCAGCCACUGAACAAUGGGGAAGUGGUAAUGAUUAAAAAGGUCCUCCUUGCAGUUGCUGGAAUCUAAAUUCAAUUCACAUUUGGCUAUAUGGUCAGUUAAUUAUGAAACCUCUGACAGCUGAUGAUUGAAAUACAAGUAUUUUGUGUGGUAUCUGUAUAAUAAAGCUAUUCUACAUUUG